GGUUUAGUGGUUUAGUGGUUAGCACUGUUGCCUUGCACCUCUGGGGUUGGGGGUUUGAAUCCCACCUCCACCU